CCUACGGGGGGCUGCAGUGGGGAAUAUUGGGCAAUGGAGGCAACUCUGACCCAGCAACGCCGCGUGAAUGAUGAAGGUCUUCGGAUUGGAAAGUUCUGUGGUGGGGGAGGAACACAAUGACGGUACCCGAAUAGCAAGCCGCGGCUAACUACGUGCCAGCAGCCGCGGUAAUACGUAGGUGGCAAGCGUUAUCCGGAAUGACUGGGCGUAAAGGGGGCGUAGGUGGUUCAGUAAGUUGGCUGUGAAAUUCCGGGGCUCAACCUCGGCGCUACCGCCAAAACUAUUAGACUAGAGUGCAGGAGGGGUAAGUGGAAUUCCUAGUGUAGCGGUGGAAUGCGUAGAUAUUAGGAGGAACAUCAGGGGCGAAGGCGACUUACUGGACUGUAACUGACGCUGAGGCACGAAAGCGUGGGGAGCAAACAGGAUUAGAUACCCUUGUAGUC
rnacentral:rRNA from 1 species